UGCGAUUAAUUAAUUUCUUUGAGAUAGGGUCUCCCUGUCCUCCAAGCCAGAAUGCAGUGGCACAAGCAAGGCUCACUGCAGCCUUGGACUCCCGGGCUCAAGCGAUCUUCCUGCCUCAGCCUCCUGAGUAGCUACGACUACAGCUACAUACCACCCUGCCCAGGGGGCCCUGAGCCCAUCAGACGUGCUGGGAGCUCGGGACAGGAGACAGCACAGGCACAGCCACAGCGGCCACUCCAGCUGAGCCAGAGCCCCCAAGCAUGGGCAAGAAACUUGAUUGUGACAGUGACCUGGGAGCCAGAAAGGUGUCUAUUCCUCUGAGGUGGGGUGGUGAUGGCAAAGGGAAGGAGGAAGAACCCAG